rnacentral:rRNA from 1 species
UACGUAGGGGGCAAGCGUUGUCCGGAUUUAUUGGGCGUAAAGAGCGUGUAGGCGGCUGGGUAGGUCCGUUGUGAAAACUCGAGGCUCAACCUCGAGACGCCGAUGGAAACCCUCCAGCUAGAGUCCGGAAGAGGAGAGUGGAAUUCCUGGUGUAGCGGUGAAAUGCGCAGAUAUCAGGAAGAACACCCGUGGCUAAGGCGGCUCUCUGGGCAACAACUGACGCUGAGGAGCGAAAGCGUGGGGAGCGAACAGG